CAAAUACGUCACUUAUAGAAACAUAUUUAAUUAAUAACAAUCCCACAUUUUAUUUAUAUAAGUAGGUAUAAUGUAAGGUCAAUUAUAAAACAAUAUCGAUUUGUUUGCAACAAAUCAAGACCAUAUCAAAGUACUCAAAUAAUAAUAUGUAUUAUACUCUCGAAAAUAACUACAACUGGUAAAUCCUGACUAACGCAGAACAAUUCAAUUUUUUAAUUUUUUUUAAAGGACAACAAAAUGAAUUUAAGUUUCCAAAAAGGUACCAUCUUUGUCAACUCGUUGGAUAAAUGAAUAACAUAAUGUUAUUCCCGGAUUUCCAAAUCUGUCUUCAUAGAUUAUAACGACACAGUCCCCCACAGAUCUACUUGACAGACUAACGAAUUGUUCGCUUUGGAACGUAAUUAUAUUUAUACGUGUCAGAAUAAAUUCAACUGUAAUUAUUUAAAAACCCUACAGAGUAACGAACAAACGAAAUAAGUACCUAAUUUAUAUUACGUUGAAACUUUUAAAAAGCGUGAAAAAAUAAAACUCCAAGUAUCAAGAUCCCUGUCAAGUAUCUGGGGCUAAAUGUAACACCAAUUUAUAUAAAAUAAUAUAUUUUUAUGUUUUUCUUAGAUACAGACAUAAUAUAGUACCUACUCGAAUAUUGUAUACGAUAUAUUUCAAAAUACUAACUUCAGCCCCUAAAUAAAUAAGUACAUAAUAUCAUCAGUUAUUCAAAUUGUUAAGAUUGUUUUUAAGGUACCCAUACUUAAUGGUUAAUUUCAUAACGAAUGAUGGCAAUAAGUAUUUAUUAAUUUAAAAUAUAAUGUAUAUUUUUUUUUUUAUAUUAAAAACAUAAUUAUCAUUACGCGUGCAAGUAAUAUUUUGUAAAGAUUAUGUUAUUGUCAAAAUCAACACUUAUAAAAAUAUAUAAUAAUUAUUAGACAGUAAAAUGAUGACUACGUCAAUCUAUUAUGUUGUAGUUUGUUUAUGAUAAAUUAAAUUACGAUGUACAUUGUACACUCGUAAUUAUAUUACAGUUGCGUUUGAGUACUGUAUUAAUACACCUACCUAUACUUGUUGAAAUACAAAUCAUAUUAUGUUAACCCAGCGAUAACUAAUUUGUAAACUAUCAUAAUUAACAUCAAUUUUUAUGUAAAAUAUAAUAUGGUUAAUUAGGUUUAAUUAGAAUUCAUGAUUCCAUCAACGGUGAAAAUUCAGUGUUGUAUUACAACAAAAUGCUGUCUAUCGUCUCCCAGAUUCAUUUAGGCCACUUUAACGCAAGGUCGGUGCUCUGAUGUUGCAAAAUUAUACGGCUACUCCUUCUCCGGAUUACACAACUCGCAACACGAUUCAGGUUCAAAACUUCGUUUCCUCUAAAGAUAAUAAUAUAAUUACUUCUUAUCAGACGCGGUGUAUAUUAUUGUACGCAAAUUUUUCGUUCUUCGACAUUCAAUUGGCCUAUUUAAGUUGGUUGGAGGAGGGCGCACGUUACGAGGCCCAAGACUAUAGUAUUUUCAGCUUAAGUUUAUUGUAUAAAGUGGUCGUUUGUAUUUUUUAUGUGGUGAAAAAUAUUACAUUUUAAGAUUUAUUUAUACUAUUUGUUCCAUGGAAGAUGAAGAGUUUCGAUAACCACUUCAAUAAUAAUGAUAUAUUGUUAUUGUAUCAAAUAUAUAUAUUAUUUAUAUCAUUAUUAUUAGCCACAAUUAAUCAGACAAAAUACGUAUGAACUAGGUAGAUAGAUACCGACUGAAACAAAAAAGCACUAUGA